AAUUUCUACGGGGCGCAGCAGUGAGGAAUAUUGGUCAAUGGGCGGGAGCCUGAACCAGCCAAGCCGCGUGAGGGAAGAAGGUACAGCGUAUCGUAAACCUCUUUUGUCAGGGAACAAAGGCGGGGACUAGUCCCCGGAUGAGGGUACCUGAAGAAAAAGCAUCGGCUAACUCCGUGCCAGCAGCCGCGGUAAUACGUAGGGAGCGAGCGUUGUCCGGAUUUACUGGGUGUAAAGGGUGCGUAGGCGGGUAAGCAAGUCAGAAGUGAAAUCCAUGGGCUUAACCCAUGAACUGCUUUUGAAACUGU
rnacentral:rRNA from 1 species